UACGGGGGGAGCAAGCGUUGUUCGGAUUUAUUGGGCGUAAAGGGCGCGUAGGCGGCCACCGCAAGUCGACUGUGAAAUCUCCGGGCUUAACCCGGAAAGGUCAGCCGAUACUGCGGGGCUAGAGUGCAGAAGGGGCAACUGGAAUUCUCGGUGUAGCGGUGAAAUGCGUAGAUAUCGAGAGGAACACCUGCGGCGAAGGCGGGUUGCUGGGCUGACACUGACGCUGAUGCGCGAAAGCGUGGGGAGCAAACAGG
rnacentral:rRNA from 1 species